UCCCUGGUGGCUCAGUGGUAAAGCAUCCACUUGCCAAUGUAGGAGACAUGGGUUUGAUCCCUAGUCAGGGAA
rnacentral:tRNA from 1 species